rnacentral:lncRNA from 1 species
UGGGAAGGGCCUUCACACAGAGGCCCGCCCCCAUCUCGCCCCUCCUCGCGGUGCUCCCGACCGCGCAGAGGUCUCUGGGAAAUGUAGUUUUCUUCUGCCUGGAGCUCUGCGCGGGGCGACGCAGCUGGGCUGCAACCCGCUCCUCCAGGGACGGGUAGUGUGACGUUUGGGGUCAGAACGCACCACUUUCGGGCACCCCCACUUAAGAUUGCUCAACUGCUUUGAGCUCAGACUUCCUGCUGUUGUAAGCAACCACUACAGAUUUCUCAGAAGUACUGUGGCAAAUAAAAAUGAUUGAGAAUCAUUAUACAUUUUCUAUUCUACUAGAGAGACAGUUUAAAAUAAAAUAGAAUGCUAAGACCACCAUGCAGUGGAAAAGCUCCAUCUACCAGAAGAUGAGAAGCCAUGUGGAGAACUAAGACUUCCCAGCCAAUAGCCAGCACCAACUGCCAGACACGUAAGUGAGGCCAUCUUGAACCCUCCAACCCUAGAUGUAUUCACGGUUCUCCAGAGAAACAGAACCAAUAAGAUGUGUGUGUGUGUGUGUGUGUGUGUUUAUAAAGAUAUUUAUUUUAAGGACUUGACUCACUUGAUUAUAGAGCUUCCAAGUCCAAAAUCUGCAGGGUGGGUUGGCAGGCUGGAGGCCAGGGAAAAGGUGAUGCUACAGUUCAAGUCUGAGAGCCAUCUACUGGCAAAAUUCCUUCUUGCUCAUGGAAGGUCAGUCUUUUGUUCUAUUCAGGCCUUCAGUUGAUUGGAUAAGGCCUACUCACAUUAUGGAGGGCAAUCUGCGUUAUUCAAAGUCCCCUGAUUUGUUACUCAGAGGUGAGAAAAAUCAUGGUGUACUAAAGUCACCACAAAAACUUCUGUAGAUCAUAUGGAGAAGCAGGAGAGAUGAAGCUGGAGAGCAAAGCAGCAAAUCAGCAAUUAAAAAAGAUGUUUGGAGUUGUUGAGUUUGGAGAUGAAAAGUGACAAGAUGAAUUCUGGAUUUUAGACAAAGCAAUCCAACGUGUGGAUGGAGAGGGAUUUGAGAGGAGAAAUCAGCUGUUGUCAGUAAGAGUAUUUAAAUUAGGAUACUGGUAACGGGGAUGGAGAGACACACGAUUAUACAUGGGAAGUGAGAGCAGAAAGAAUUAGGAUUAUUUCUUGAUUUUUUUUUUUUUUUUUU